GGACUUCAGGAUAAUUCUGCCAAACGAAAGAUGUCAGAUGAAAAAGUCUACACAGUAUAAUCCCGUGUAUCCAGAAUCCUACAGCAAACUCACCAACAGUGGCAGGAAGCAGACCUGCGCUUGCUGUAGAUGCAGGACAGCUGGAGGAAAAAACAGAAGACAAUGGAAAAGUCAGAGUAAAGAGAAUUCACUUACGAAAUGCCAACCGUUUAAAAAUACUCCACACCGAACAUGAUGAGCCUUUUCCAUUAUUAAUGCCUCAGGGAGAAAUCAAAGUCCGAGCCGCAGCUAUCCCUGCUAUUCUCAAAUUAGGAGAAAUCACCGUGUCCUACUUGACUUCAGGGUGGGUGGCGGGCGUUCCCGCGGCAGCUGCAGCCUCGCAGUGCCUGCGUGAGCCGUGCUCCGCUGCGCCCCGGGCAGCUCCGCUCCGACCCACGCACCGCAGGUUGCUUAUAUACUUGUGCAUGUUAGUUUGGACUUUGAGGGGUGCUUGCUUUAUUUUAUGUUAAGGUGCAGUUUACAGGCAGUAAAAUGCAUCCAUUGUAACUUUACAGCACAGUAGAGCUCACACAUAUAUGCGCUCAUGUGACUGACCCCCUGAGCAAAAUAUGGAGCAUUUCCAUCUCCCAGGAAGUCCCCUCCUGCCCCUUCCCAGGCAACGGUUCCCCACCCUACCCCUACCAGACACUCACAGCCUGAUUUCUAGCUUGGCGAUUCGUUUUUCCUUUCUCAAGCGUCGAAUAAACUGGAGUCCCUCGGUGUGUCCUGUGCUAUAGAAUCUGACUGUUCCACUCCAUCUGAGCUUUGAGACUUGGACAGUGUUUGUGCCUACCACAGUACUCUUUCCCUUUCCCCCGGGUUGUACCCCACCCCGUGCGUGGACCCUGAUUUGCGUGGACCCUGAUUUGCGUAUCCAUUCUCCUCUUGCUAAAUGCUGGCACUGUUUCCAGUUCGGGGUGUAAUGCACCAGGAUCCUGUGAAGACUCAAGACUUGUUGUGGACAGAUGCCUCCAUCUCUUGGGCACACACCUAGAAGGAGCAUUGCUGGGCCAUAGGGUGGACAUACGUUUAGCUUUAUUAGAAAUUGUCAAAAUGAUUUUCAAAGUGAUUGUACCGUUCACACUCCCACAGCAACAUACAGAACUUCCUACUGCUCCCCGUCCUCGCCGGCUGACGCUUGGUAUUGUCAGUCUUUUUAAUGUUCGUCAUCCUGGUGGGGGUGUGGUGGUAUCUCACUGUGGUGUUAAUUUGCAUUCCUCUGAUGAAUGCUGAUUCUGUGCACGUGUUCAAUGCUUAGAACUGCCCGGAUACCCUCUCCUGUGAAGCACCUGCUCAAGGCACUGUCAAUGUUUAGGGCUGCCCGGAUACCCCCUCCUGUGAAGCACCUGCUCAAGGCACUGUCAAUGUUUAGGGCUGCCCGGAUACCCCCUCCUGUGAAGCACCUGCUCAAGGCACUGUCAA
rnacentral:lncRNA from 1 species